rnacentral:rRNA from 1 species
GGAAUAUUGCGCAAUGGGCGAAAGCCUGACGCAGCGACGCCGCGUGGGCGAUGAAGGCCUUCGGGUCGUAAAGCCCUGUCGAGCGGGAAGAAACGUAUGGGUCCGAACAAGGCCCAUGCUUGACGGUCCCGCGAGAGGAAGCCCCGGCUAACUCCGUGCCAGCAGCCGCGGUAAUACGGAGGGGGCUAGCGUUAUUCGGAAUCAUUGGGCGUAAAGGGCGCGUAGGCGGCUUCGUGUGUCGCAUGUGAAAGCCCUCGGCUCAACCGAGGAAUUGCAUGCGAAACUGCGGAGCUUGAGUCCGGGAGAGGAGAGUGGAAUUCCCAGUGUAGCGGUGAAAUGCGUAGAUAUUGGGAGGAACACCAGUGGCGAAGGCGGCUCUCUGGACCGGUACUGACGCUGAGGCGCGAAAGCUAGGGGAGCAAAC